UACGUAGGGACCAAGCGUUGUUCGGAUUUACUGGGCGUAAAGGGCGCGUAGGCGGCGCGGUAAGUCACCUGUGAAAUCUCCUGGCUCAACUGGGAGCUUGCAGGCGAAACUGCCGUGCUGGAGUGUGGGAGAGGUGCGUGGAAUUCCUGGUGUAGCGGUGAAAUGCGUAGAUAUCAGGAGGAACACCUGUGGCGAAAGCGGCGCACUGGACCACAACUGACGCUGAGGCGCGAAAGCUAGGGGAGCAAACAGG
rnacentral:rRNA from 1 species